rnacentral:lncRNA from 1 species
GAAACGAGGAAGUGGAAACUGUGGGUAAGGGAAAUGUGAUGAGAACCAGAAAACAUGAAGUUAAGGGAGAUCCCAUGCCUGUAACCUCAGCACUUCAUGGGCACCUUAGCAGUGAGCACAGGAGUGACGGAGAGAUUACUGGCACUGUGUCACUGGCUGGAACCGAGGAAGCCAAAGAGCAGAAGUAAUUUCCGUUUCUCUAUGACUACUGCAACAACUCAGGUAGCUUGAGGAGCCAGCAUCUUGGCCUCUUUGCUCCUGAAAACACAUUGUAGCCUUCGAUUUGAAGUCUAUGGCAUAAGGGAAGUGCAGUGGAAAUUUUGGUUGGAUCUUUAAGUGUCAUGGCUACUGCUCAACUAACAUACCCUUUCUUUUUGUUCUUUGUUAUUAAAGAAAUAUCACUCUAUUUUCAGAAGGGCAUGAUAAGAGGUUUAGUAGUCUGAUUCACUGCCCAGAAGAAGUUAAUGGGGAACAGAGCAAGAUUCUCAUGUGAUUAGUGAUGCAAAAAUAAGAUUGUAACAUAAAUCUCAGUUAGCAUUUUCUCAUGUGCUUUAUUCAUCUGUUGCGAUCUUUUCAAGACUGCAUUUCCCUUAACUCUUCAUGUCCCCGAGGAACAGUGUUUUUGAAUCAUUUACAUCCUGAUCAGAACUAAUAACUCAGCAGUAAUUUCAGUAAAU